rnacentral:misc_RNA from 1 species
UGUAUUACUGUAAUUAAUUAACAAACUAGAGAAAAGAAAGAAAUUAAAAGAAGCAACAUCAAUUCGAAAAGCAGACAGGGAAAAAGGUUGCAGGUAAAAGUCACUAUCCAAAUAUGACUGUUCAAAGUCCUAAGGUACGCUUGAAGGGAAGCAAGAAGAUAAGACACAGCUUGAUCAAAAAUCAGCUGUCUGAUACUUUAAACUCCAUGGCUUUGAUCAAACUGCCUUUUGCGGAACAAAGCAGACCCUUCUAUGUCUCUCUCUCUCUGUCAUAUCCAUCCAUUUUUUUCUUUAUCUUCACUGAAAAUUCCCAUUUCCUCCAAAAGAUUGGCUUGUCUGCGCUGUAAUAUUUCUCUCCGAAUCCACGGAGCAGCUUAUGUCUAUGCUUGGCUGCCGUGGCUGCUGCAGCUGUUGAUGUUUAUCUCUUUGCGAAAACCCUCCACUCAUGCUUCUCACAAUUUGUCCUACCCCAAGAAAAUCCCUGGUCAAUCUAUCAGACCCUCCAAUACUUACGUUCAGACCCUGAUGCAACUUCGCUUCCUCCUUGUUUCCACUGUAGGGGUUUUGUUGUCCAUGCCCAGAAGCGGAAAGGGAUGAAUUCCCAGUAGCAACUGAGUUCAUUAGGUCA